rnacentral:lncRNA from 1 species
CACUUUUCUUUACUUCUAACAUUAUGAGAGAGUAUAUCCUACAAUUAAAAGUGAACGUGAAUAAAAUAAAAUGAAAUAAAACAAGUAUUUUCUGUUAUCUGGUUGUAUUGAACGUUAUCUUAAAAUAGACAGUAAAAUAAUUGGAAAACACGAUAGAGAUCAGAAGAGGUAAAACGUGGAUCCGGGUGAAAAAAGGCUGUAAAUUAAAGUAAUACGGAUACGAACAAUAAUCACUAAACUUUUUUUAAUCUUCUCGAUAAUUAUAUUAUUCCAAAAUUUGUUUCUAAUGCACGGUUAUCUCUUUUUUCUGUUAUAUUUUAUUCACUUUUUUUUUUUUUUUUACUGAAAAUCCACUGGUUUGGUAUGGGUUUUUUCUGUGCUUUUAUUUUGGUGGAUGUGAAAGAACGCUCCGCUGUGAUGAACUCUCUCAGUAAAGCUGUAAGGCCACACAGGUCCGUCUGUACUUUGGCUUAGCCUAACGCUUAUAAGCAGACUGACCUCAUAGACCCAAGCUACACAACCUGAAUCCUCUUUCCCCAACAAUUCAGAUUUCACAGAGGUUUUCUUUUUCUUUUCUUUUUCCCCCUGCUAAGUAGCAAACGUCAAUUACACGACUUGUGCGGGUGAAAGUUCACAUGUGCAGCUCUGAUGUCCCUCGGCGGCUUCCUUCAUUUUUCGCUUUGUUGUUAUUGGGGAGAUACUGAAAGUUCAGAAGAAUUAAAAGCCUUUUCAUCGCUGAAAUGAAGCUCCAUCUGUCUGGAAACUGCCAUGAAACGGACCUGCAGGCUGAAACAUCUGACAGCAAGUUCCUCUAUCUGUUCAACAGCGAUAUCUGUGGGACACAUUUAACACGGAAAUAGGCCUACCUGUUCAAAUCAAAGAAAAAGGGACAUUUCAUCCUUUUUAAGUGAUCAAUAGAUCCACUUUUGAGUUACUAAAUGCUUUAUUGUCGUUUAACUACAUGUUGGAAAUAUAUCAGAUAAAAACAACAACAUUUAAUCAGGUGGAUUUAACUGCUCUCUCUCUCUCUCUCUCUCUCUCCUCUCUCUCUCUUUCUCUCUCUCUCGCUCAGUGUUUUUGUUAAAGGAGAACUCUCUCUCUCUCUCUCUCUCUGUCUCUGUCUCUGUCUCUCUCUCUACUCCUUCUUUUAGUUCUCCUCCUUGUCCCCAAAUUGGCCUUUUAAUCCCUCUCCAUGUGCUGGACUGACACCAGGCCACUCCGCUCUGAUGUCUUCAAGCUGACGUGUGAAUCAAGAGGUUCCCCUGGCUCCUCCACUGACCUUUGACCCCAUGCUGCCCUUUCCCCGACACUGGCUUAAGAGAAGGGGACAUGAUAGUGGUGAGGAUGAUACAGUCACUUGAUGAAAUGUAAUUUAAGAGAACUGUAGAAAUAAAGCCUCCAUCCUUAAAGGAGUGUGGAUCACAUGUUUGGUCUUCAUUUUGUCUUUUUCUGGUGUGUUUUUGUUUUUUCUUAAAAUGAAGGAGGUCCAGCACCACGCCUCAGUGAGUCCAUCUGAUGCUCAGGAAACAGAUUCUUAAAAGCGGUGUGAAUAUGAGAAGAAGCCUGACUGUCUGUCUGUCUGUCUGCUGAGGAGGAGCCCCCUCGCUAAACAUUUCAGCACAGCAACCAAGGAGGUAUGAAAAAAAGCACCAAUCAACUCAAGGACUGUACAAAGAGUGGCCUGCGGUUGCUAAGAGACAGAUGCAGAAUAACCUCCAUGAGAAACCUGACCAUGACCCUUCCUCCUCCUCCUCUCCCUCCUCCUCCCAGUCUCUCCCUCUCCUACCCAAUUACUACAGAACAUUAAAGCCCACCUCUGUCACAUUAAAGCUGAAAGGCAGAGAGGAGAAGGAGGAGGUGGUGGAGGAGUAGGAGGAGG